rnacentral:pre_miRNA from 1 species
GCAAAUGACAGUUAUAUUGCAUGGUUUCGGAGGAAUGGGUAAGACCAUUCUCAUUGCAUGGUUUCGGAGGAAUGGAUAAGACAAUUGCG